UACGUAGGGUGCGAGCGUUGUCCGGAAUUAUUGGGCGUAAAGAGCUCGUAGGCGGUUUGUCGCGUCGGCCGUGAAAACUUGGGGCUUAACCCCAAGCCUGCGGUCGAUACGGGCAGACUUGAGUUCGGCAGGGGAGACUGGAAUUCCUGGUGUAGCGGUGAAAUGCGCAGAUAUCAGGAGGAACACCGGUGGCGAAGGCGGCAUCCUGGACCGGCAUUGACGCUGAGGAGCGAAAGCCAGGGGAGCAAACGGG
rnacentral:rRNA from 1 species